rnacentral:rRNA from 1 species
GAUGAACGCUGGCGGCGUGCUUAACACAUGCAAGUCGAACGGUGAGAGAGAGCUUGCUCUCUGGAUCAGUGGCGAACGGGUGAGUAACACGUGAGCAAUCUGCCCUGACUCUGGGAUAACAGCUGGAAACAGCUGCUAAUACCGGAUACGAGUUGCGAAGGCAUCUUCAGCAGCUGGAAAGAAUUUCGGUCAGGGAUGAGCUCGCGGCCUAUCAGAUUGUUGGUGAGGUAAUGGCUCACCAAGGCGUCGACGGUAGCCGGCCUGAGAGGGUGACCGGCCACACGUGGGACUGAGACACGGCCAGACUCCGACGGGAGCAG